CAACGCUAAAGAAUGAUUGAAAUGUCUGUGAAUACAAACUUGUUAAAAUUGCACAUUCCUCAGAAGUGUAAAGGAUUAUUUUUCAACUGUAUAACUGUCCAGUAGUAUAUUUUCUUUCGAAAUGUGCGUACAAUAUAUCCUUACAUUGAUCAAGUAACGGACGGUCGAGCGGUUACGAAAUUAACUUACAUGAAGAUAAAGUAUGGAGACUUUGGUUAGCUAUUUGCAAGAGAAGUAGGAUGGAGCGACGACAGCUUUAGCUGGAGAUUAUUAGAAUGCCAUUGUUAGUUAUAUUUAUAUAGCGCUUAGUCAAAUGAUUUAUCUGUAGCGAUAUACAAAAUAAAGAAUGUGCUGAGAUAACGAUAUUACGGCCUUUACGACAAUUUGCUUGCUUUUUGUAAAGUUUGUGUUUCCCACAUCACUUAUAAUAGUUCUAACAGCAUUACUGAUCUCAUUUUCAAGUGGCUAGUCUAUAUAAUACAGAUUAUUUGCGUGGAAGAAAGAGAAAGGGAUAGUCGUCCAUGGUCAUGGAACAAUCUUUAAUGUUCAGGUUCUAAUGUAUAGCAGGUGUUUACACAAAAAGGGGAACCCGUGGACCAGUGCCCUCUUCUAAAACAGACAUUUCAAACUAUUGACUAUUUGGGACUGCUUGUAUUUAUACUAGUGAUAAACUGAUUAUAUAUAUAUGUAUAGUACACAAAUACUCAUAACCUAUUACUAAAGAUUUUAUGACGCAUUUCUGUGACAGUCUAUUAAUUUAUUUAACAAAUACAAAUUUAGUAAUGAGAUCAUUAAGGAUAUAUAUCAUUACUUACUUGAAUAGCUUUAAAUACUUUAUUGUAUCAUGGUAAUAUUAUUGCUUUUGAUUCUAGACCAUUGUACAUGUGUUUGACAGCUACAAAUGAUUUAUUGAUUUUUUGGUUUUUCUCAGUGACGCCUUUUUUCUAAAGUAUGUAACUCACAAACAAAUUAUUUCUUUUACUUCAUUUUAUAUUAACAUAUUAUUUAUACUCCGAAAUUUUGAUUUCAAUAUAAUUAUAUUGAAAAAUCUCUGUCCAUUACAAAGUUAUAUUGCAAUUUAUAUGCCCGAGUCUGACAGAAUAUGUGUGCUGAUGUUAAAAAUAUAUGUUUUAGGGUUAAUAAAAUCAUAUUAUAUUAAUGCUGG